UUGGUUGUUUUGCCUGAGGCAACCCAACACCGGAGCUUACCUGGGCUCUUUGUUGGGGCUAAUGACAGACUCUGGGAGGGCUCACGCCAAGGAGUACUUCCCAGAACUUCUGCUGCCAGUGUCCUUGUCCCCACCGUGAAACAGAGCCACCCCCCGCCUCUGCAGGAGACCUUCCAACGCUAGCAGGUGACAAGAUGUGGGCAGACGAGAGGGGAGUCUAAAUGUGGCCCUGCACCUGUUGGUGAGAACAAGGACAGAGCUGGAGAGGAUUCUGAAGGAAGCCAUGCCGCCCAUAGCCAUGUUUAGGCAAGUGGGUAGAGCCGCAGAUAUAAUAAGAGAGCAGAGCUGUGACCGGUGUUCCUCUCUCCUAUGGGUCAGCCUCUACUGAAGAGUCAGUGCAAAAUAGUCAAGUGGUAUCAGGAAGCUUCUGGGCUGCUUUGGCAAUAAAGAAAAGAUACUGAAGACACCUGAUAACAGGGGACUUUGCAGUCCCGUCAAAGCCAAGUCUUUGUAGAUGGUUCCCACUAUGUGCCAUUUUCAAAGAAAAGGAGGUUUGACUUCUAAGCUGUGAACAAGAUUCUAUGCACUAAUGAUCAUGGUGUAAACUAUUACUUGCUAUUUGUGUAAACUCCUAACCCAUUUCAGAAAAAUAAUUUAAGGCUGCUAAUAAAGCUAUAUAAAAUACAUGAAGGUAAACUAAAUCUAAUAUAGAUGACAAAAAUGAGGAAAAGAGAAAAGUAGUGUGGGAAAGGAAGAAGCAACCAGAGAAGAGAUUAAUAUUAAAAAUACAUGCUAUGAAGUGCUGUACAUGUGGGAAACCGGUUCACAAUUUGGGGUCUCUAUAAUACUGUUCUCCUAAGUUCAGUUGAUCAUGAAAACUUACAGAAGUACUUCAAUCUUGCUUUAUUAUUUAUGCAUAGCUAAGACUAGGGUCAGUAGGAAUUUAAAAUAUAUUAACAAGGACUGGUCCCCGUAAUAGACCCAACCUAAGUAAGUGAAAUCUGAUGUGAAUGUAUUUAGGAAGUCAUUAAGAAGAGACCAACCUCCAGUGAACAUCCUUUGGUAACACCAACAUAAUCAGGGCUGCUAAGUAUAUUAUAUGGAGUUCUUGAAAUUUCAAUAUCUUUGAGGCAGCCAGAAUAUUUCUUCAAAUUUACUUCCGGCCUGUUGAAAAGUUAAAUGGAAAACAAAAGCAAUAUCAUUAGGGCAAUGGCGGUAUAGUGUGUGUGCCUAGUGGAUGAAAGCCAUAUGGAGCAAAGUGCUGCACAGGCAGGCACGUCUCUCAGACUGUGCACACGCGCACACACACACCCAGCAAACUAUGCUUCCCGAAUUGCUGCACAGGCAGGCACGUCUCUCAGACUGCGCACACACACACGCACGCACCCAGCAAACUACGCUUCCCGAAUUUCUGCACAGGCAGGCACGUCUCUCAGACUGUGCACACGCGCACACAGGUACCCAGCAAACUAUGCUUCCCGAAUUUCUGCACAGGCAGGCACGUCUCUCAGACUGUGCACACACACACGCACGCACCCAGCAAACUACGCUUCCCGAAUUUCUGCACAGGCAGGCACGUCUCUCAGACUGUGCACACGCGCACACAUGCACCCAGCAAACUACGCUUCCAUUAGCUCCUGGUUGGAUAAGUGGAUAUGAGCACCAUCCUGCACAAGGAGUCUUUAUGUAGUUCUUCUUCCUCUCCUUUAAAAAAAUAAUCUCACCUAUUGCAUUUAAAUACAAGGUACAGGAAUGAACUGACUUCUUAUGAAGUGCUUCAUAUGCAUAAUGAAAUGUGUUUCUUUUUUUCCAACAAAGGGCAGAACUUGUAUGGGACAGCAUAAU